UACAGAGGUCUCAAGCGUUGUUCGGAUUCAUUGGGCGUAAAGGGCUCGUAGGCGGUUUGUCGCGUCGGGAGUGAAAAUCCAGGGCUUAACUCUGGACUGGCUUCCGAUACGGGCAGACUAGAGGUAUGCAGGGGAGAACGGAAUUCCUGGUGUAGCGGUGAAAUGCGCAGAUAUCAGGAGGAACACCAAUUGCGAAGGCAGCUCGCUGGGACGUUACUGACGCUGAGACGCGAAAGCGUGGGGAGCAAACAGG
rnacentral:rRNA from 1 species